rnacentral:rRNA from 1 species
AUGCAUGUAUAAGUAUAAACCAAAAUAAGGUAACACCGCGAAAGGCUCAUUAAAAAAUUUAUAAUUUACAUAAAAAUAAGGGAUAACUGUGGUAAUUCUGCAGCUAAUAGAUGAAAACUAUUUUUAUAUAUAUAAAUAGUAAGCCAAAUUAAUAAUAAAUAGGCAUUAUUAUAUAAAUAAAUAAUCCAUCAUACUUAUCUUGAAGGUAGUGACUUCAAGAGGUAGCAACGGAUAACGGGGAAUUAGGGUUUGAUUCCGGAGAUGGAGCCUGAGAAAUAGCUACAACUUCUAAGGAAGGCAGCAGGCGCGCAAAUUACCCAAUUAUAGAAAAUAUAGAGGUAGUGACAAGAAGUAUUUUUUAAAUAAAAAAUAAAAUUAAAAAUUAAAAAAAUAUAAAAUUAAAUAGAGGGAAAGUCUGGUGCCAGCAGCCGCGGUAAUUCCAGUUCUAUUAGUUUAUGUUAUGAUUGUUGCAGUUAAAACGCUCGUAGCUGGAUUAAUAAUAUUAUGAGUAAAAUAGAAGGAUUAAAAUAAAAAUAUAUAGAAUAAAUAGCAUAAUACAUAAUGACAAACAAUACAUUGAUGAAUUUUUAAUUUUUUGGGAAGGGGUGAAAUCCAAUGAUCCAAAUAAGAAAAACAAAGGCGAAGGCAAAAAACAAAAUGUAGUUGGUUAGUAAAGAGCAAAAGUUGAGGGAGCAAAAACGAUUAGAUACCGUUGUAGUCUCAACAGUAAGCGAUACCGGUGAAUUGGAUGUUUUUUAAAAAGAAGAAUGUACAAAUAAUAGAAAUUAGAACCAGGUUCUGGGGGGGAGUAUGGUCACAAGACUGAAACUUGAAAGAAUUGACGGAAAGGCACCACCAGGAAUGGGGUGUGCGGUUUAAUUUGACUCAACACGGGGAAAUUUACCAAGGCCAAAUAUUUAAAGAGUGACAUUUUAAAGGGAUUUCAUGAAGGUAUAGUAGUGGUGCAUGGCCGUUCUUUGUUCGUGGAAUCAUCUGUCAGGUUGAUUCCGAUAACGAGCGAGACGAUAGUAUUAAAUUUAAAAUUAAUAAAGAUGUCAUUGUUUAAAAUGAAGGAAUAUUGCGAUAACAGGUCAGUGAUGCCCUUUGAUGUCUUGGGCUACACGCGCGCUACAAUAAUUAAUAUAAAGAGGGGACUUGAUGGAAACGUUGAGUUAAACAAAAAGAUUAAUUGUAGUUAGGAUUGUAUAAUGGAAGAUUACAUGAAUUAGGAAUUCCUUGUAAUCACUUUUCAGCAUAAAGUGAUGAAUGCGUCCCUGCCUUUUGUACACACCGCCCGUCGCUACUACCGAUGAGAUAUUGGUGCGAGGAUUUUGGAUAUAUUUAAUAAAAGAAAUUCCAAGCCUAUUAGCUUAGAGGAAGUACAAGUCG